CAGGCUUCAAUGCCACUGAAAGCCAGCGAUGGAGACAGGCAGCCUCUGAGAAAAGAGACACCAGUGGGAAAUUUUGCUUUGAUGCUGGCUCGUCAGCGAGCUCCGGCACCAGGGAGGAGGAGGAGGAAGGACCGCCGGCUCUCGCGAUGCUCCCCUGCAUGUGCAUACAUGCAGAGCUGAGCUCAGCCAGAGAUCCUGGGAGAGGGUUGCAGCAACCGCAGAGCAAGUCACCAGCUGUGCCCUGCCUGACUGGGCAGCACAUGGCUGGCACAGCCUGAGCCCCACAUGGCAGCCAAGCACCCGCCAUCGGACAGGACAGACCGCGGAGAAGAGCUGGCACUGCAAGGACGCCACGAAAGGACCGUGUCGUACAACCGCCCAUCGUCCCAAGAUGUCGGUCAUCAGUCCAGAAACUCCAGAGCUUCUUGGAAACCUUUACCUGCCUACAACAAAGACCAUCACAAUUCAUCUGGGCAAAUACGUAAAACUGACAAAGCCACAAUGAGCCAGGUCUCCAUCCCCUUGGUAGACACCAUCAUGACAAUGUGAAGGCCUAAAAGAGAUGCCAUCAUAUAACAAAGACCAUGAAUGUCUAGGCAAUAGAGAUCACCCUCUUCUAAGCAGAACCAAAAGACAUGAACAACAUUAAAUGGUCACGUUGCUCCACUGGUUCCCUCAAGUCACAGUUGACCACAAAGAUUCAUUCUUACUCCAUGACUGGAUGCCACAGUUAACUCUGGCUCCUUUCCUGUCCCCAAACAUAUUGGCACUGUCACAGUCCUUCUACCCAGUUUUUGGGUCCAUGCAUGUGACCCAAGUAGGUACAUUAGGAAAGCAAAAUAGCUAAGUAAGGUAGGUGUUCAAAAAACUACAGGGGAAUCAAUUUGCCCAAUUAAUGAUCUUCCCAUCUAAAUCAGAACUUUCCUUUCAAGUUUGCCAUCCAGUGCAGUUUCUUACACUGAUCUUCUCCACCCACACACACGUUCCACCUCUGCCCUGGCUGCUGUCUCCAGCCUUCAUCCACACCUGUGAUGCUCUAGUCAUGGUCCAAUAUGUCUCCCUCUCUAUUUCAGGGCAGUUUUAUCCCCAUUUUAAAAGCCAUUUUCUCCAUGUACACCUUGACCACAUUUGUGGACUCAUGCUCAUUUGCACACAAGAAUGUGUGUAAGUCAGGGAUCUGGAGACCUCCACCCAGCAGCUCCAAAGCCCCCACAUCCCUCACCUGCAGUCACCUGCAGUGGUGCUCCAUAGUUUGAGUCUUCCCUUGCCUGGCUGGAGCAAUGGCCUUGCUUGGGAAUGAAGGGAAGCAAGACAGAGACACCUGGCAAUGGACUGGUUAUACACAGCAGAUCCAAGCCAAGAUCCCACCACAAAAGUGAGAGUUAUUUCCUUCUGACAGCACAGACAAGCUUUAUAUAAAUCAUAUACAGUAAUGCGUACUCACACAGAGCUAUACAUAAGAUAUAUAUACAGGACACACCAAAAUAACACCAAGGAGUAUGGAUGUCAAAGAAGAGGUAAAAUUAGCAUAUUAGAGAAGUGGCACAAUCUUAUAAGAGAAUGGAAAAAAGGCCUAUUUUAAACAGUAAUGAACACAUUCCAAAAAUAUUGGAUAUCCUUGGCUUGGAGCCCUACAUACCACAACAUACGACAAUCACAUCAGAUUGAAGAAUGAGAAAAAUCAGCCAGAAGGUCCAUGGGAGAUAUCCCAAGAAAAACAAGGAUUGCAUGUGGUAGGGCGCUGCAGCAAAUUAUUUCCUUGGCAUCACAGAGUGCACCAGUGUUCUGUCUAGUCCAGCCUGCUGCUGAACUGCAACUUUCUGAGAGUCACACAGCCCUUACAUGGCAAAAAUUAGCAAAACCUCAGAAAUAUUUUUUUUAAAUCUAUUCCUCCUUGAAGGUUAGUCCAACAUUAACGAGACAAAAAGCAAUGUUGGCAGGGAAUACCAGGAUGCCAUUUAACCCAGAGAAAGCUGAAAUGUCAAUAAUGUAAAUUGGAACAAAAUAAUACUGUUGUUAGCUCAAUGACUUCAUAACAAUCAAGUUAAGGAGGAAAAAGGAGAUGGAAAAUAAAUGAAAAUGGGCUGGACAGUUUUUACCACAAUUAGAUAAUGUUUCCAAGGGCAUUGAAGGGGUCAGGAGCAUCCUCAGGUUAGGAAUCAACCCUGGGAAGACUUUACAGAUCCUCUAGAAUGGAAAAACUAAUAAAUGCAAGGUAGUACUUAUCUGUAAUAAAGCCUACUAUAAUAUUAAACAUGAACUAAUUAAAUUCAAAUGAAGGCACUACAUAUAUUGAUCAAUAAUAAGAGCAAAAUGUAAUCAGAAUCACAGCACUCAAAAAUUAAGACUUACUACCAAGAUGGGGGCAAGUAUGGUGAUUUGAAGACGCAUCCAUUCGGCUCCACACAUUAUGGACAUCAGGACUUCAAUGCAAUACCUUGGGUAAAAUAACACCCCAGCACUUUCUGAGGAGAAAUCUGUGCCCAAGACACCAACACAGCUCUGAGCAUCAUUUGCCCAGCUCAACUUACAGCAAAAAUUUUUCCAAACUUUCCCAUCCUUUUUGACGCCGUUUUACUGGAUUAUUUGAUUAUAGGCAUGAGGGAUGGAUUGCAGGCAGAGGGUAACUCAAUCCCUCUCUCCCUGGAGGAGUCCUACUGGCAGCUUGAAGUGAGGUGCUGACCUUGGUUACUUUACUCUGUUUUUUUUCUCCUGCAAACAACCACAAGAGAAACCUCAAGCAAAAUUGUCCGAAACUCUCCUGGAGAUUUGGAAUUCAGUCCAACAUGGGUGCUAUUUGAACUUCAUGAAAUGAACACCUUAAAUAAAAAGGUUUGUGGUGGUGUGCAGCUGUAAAAUUGAUUUCAAAGCCUUAACACGCCAGCUCAUCAAGAGAAAUACAAGCACAUUCAUUAACUCUCAGCAUGCUGGCAGUUUCAAAGAUGCCACCCAUGGCCAACAUCAGCCUGUUAUCCCAAACACAGGCAUUCAUUUGCUGCUGUAGCCAGGAAACAGCUCCAAGUUUUAUAUUUAUUCUCUGUUUCAGGGAAACAAGGACUUAAUACUGAAUUCAUUUUACACACAAGCAAUAGAAAUAUCAAGAAACUACAACUACUACUGCUCUCUCCCUAAUUUUAGCUGUCUGGAAAUUGGUCAUCUAACAUAAGACAAAUGUUCAGAAAAUUUUCAUGAUCCAUAGAGGAUCCUGGUCCAAAGCAUUAUUUGUUCCCACUCUUCCCACAGAAUUAAGUGGUGUUUACACUGAAAAACCAUUUUUUUUUAUUUCACACCCAACCUCACCUGACUCCAAACCAUAGCAUUCAAGAGCCAUGAAGUCCACCAAACAGCAGUUGAGACUGGCACAGUAAUGCUGGUACAACAUGUCCAAAUGGGUCAGCAUUUUGGAUGCCCAGUCACACUUUUGGAUAUUUCUAGUCCAGCUGUCUGACCUGCCCAAGGUCACUUGGGAAGUAGGCUGCAGGGCAGUUCACACUCAGGCUUGAGCUCUUCUCCCUUUUGGAAAAUGAAACUCCUUUUAUAGCCUUUAUCUGUGCUCUCAGAAAACACACAAAAAUUAAACCCAAGAAGUAUCAAGCUUUUUUGAGGGCUUUGUUUUUUAGCACAACUGUUAAAGAAAUAUGAAAAUUUAAUUCAACAAGACUCUCCAUGUUCCUUCAUCAUUGCGACAUCUCUCCAUGGAUAACCUACAUGGUAUGGGAUUUGCCAGCAAUCAAACACAAGGAAUGCCCUUUCUGCCCAACUGCCCAGCAGCCCUGCCCACACCAGUGGGACCAUCACAGCAGAGCACAUGGAAAGGGCUGCAGCCUCAGAUGUUCUUUCAAAACACCAUGGCAUGGGAAUAACAUAAAAAAGUCAGAACCAUCCAAUUCACGCUCUUUGACACUAUGCCCAGUUAGGAAAACUUCCCAGGAAAAUAUAUUUGCAAAGCACUAUCUAUACAGUAAGGUCUAAUCCCCAUCACAAUGUAUAGCUGAUGCCUUCCCACAGAAGAAUGCAAUCCAGCAAGGAUGUAUUCCUGGUAUGUCCCUACACAUUCCCAAUUAGAAUGAACAUCAGCUCUCCCUGUCAUGACCAUGCGGAAAGACAAGAUGGAAAACCACCACCCAUCUCAUCCCAAGUCAGCAGCUCCCAGUCUGUCUGCUUGAUGCAAUAAGGGUAACCCCUUUCCUCCUCAGAUGAGCUCCCUUUAUUGCUAUUAGAGACCUCUCAGGUACUCUUUUUGGGAGGAAUCCAAAUCCAGGCAAACAGACAAACAAAAGAGAAAGAAUUAAAAAAAAAAAAAAGAAAAAAAGGAAACGCAACACAUGCAGCCAUUCGGCAGCUUGGACCCUGUGUUUUCCUGCCCAAUUUUUAAUCCCCCUUUCCACAGGGGCAUAUCAGCACCAUGUACCCAGCAGCCCCAUCACUGAGGCCCCUCAAGCCUCUAGGCUCCAGUUUCCAUGCCAGCGUCUCUAAUGUGACACUGCCUUGGUUGGAAGUUGCACUGGGGCGGGCAGUUAUGACUCAGGGUUACAGCUCAGAAGCAUUGCCCCUGGGGCACUGAGAUGUUAGCAGAAUACACCCCAGUUUUCAUAACUAACCCUUCUUGACUUCAGCCCCCUUUACUCCAUAUUGGUUUUCAAUACACAACUUCAUAAUUCAUAAAAUGAACACAGUUUUCUUCAAAUGGCUCAAAUUUAUUACGGAAAAGCAUCCAAACACCAGCAACAUCCCCCUAAAGGAGCCAUCUCUGCAGGACAUGCUGCAGAUCAGACACUCAAGAUAAAAAUACAGACAAUACAAACCACCUCUGAGACCAGCUUUUUCAUGCAUGAGAGUAAACCACCCAUAGACACUGUUAACUUAUGCGAGUAAACCACAUUAACUUUAAGAGGAAACAGCAGAACCAAACAAACCACUGAUGCAAAACCUAAAAAAAAAGGCAGAAAACACCUGGUUCAGCUAAAUAUAUGCAGGCUGCAACUGGAUGGCCUCCAUGAACACAGAGAAAGGCACAGAAUGACAGAAUGGGUAAGGCUGGAAGGGGCCACAGAGCCAUACACACCAGGCAGUCUGCAAAGGAGACUGCACAGAUCCACAGGGAUGCUGUGCUCUCUCCAGACACAGACGUGUCACCACUGAACGUGGCAAGCUGCCGGCUGGCCCAGACAACCCUGGGAGCUGCUGAUGGAAAGCAGCUGGAUCUUGAAGAGAAGUCUGCAAGGAGCUGAAGGGAGAGCAGACUGAACAAUGUCACAAUUUUCCCGCAGAUUUAUAACAGUGGCUCUGUGAGGACAGAACACCUCAAAACCUUUGUUCAAGCACCUGGGUGCAAGGAUGGAACAUACAGAGAGCACAGGGUCGAGCCUGCUGCUCCCUCUCCACCUUCCUAUCCAAGCAGCCCUGUACACACUCAUUGUCCCAUGAAGUUUCUUUAAAGAAGCAAAAAUGUCUGAAACAGGAGACAGCUCAAACAGAUUUUUAUCGCCACAUCCUGCACAUAUCAAGUGAAAUCAGAAAGAGGGAGGUGCAGUCCACAAAAUAAAUAAGCAAUUAACCCUCACA